GGGCGUAUCGGGCUUGUCUGCCCUUACAAGGCAGGGGUCGGCGGUUCGAGUCCGUCAACGCCCACCA
rnacentral:tRNA from 1 species